rnacentral:rRNA from 1 species
CUAUCAGUAUCCUGAGUAGGGCGGGACACGUGAAAUCCCGUUUGAAUCCGCGAGGACCAUCUCGCAAGGCUAAAUACUAACCAGUGACCGAUAGUGAACCAGUACCGUGAGGGAAAGGUGAAAAGAACCCCGGGAGGGGAGUGAAAGAGAACCUGAAACCGUGUGCCUACAAGUAGUCAGAGCCCGUUAACGGGUAAUGGCGUGCCUUUUGUAGAAUGAACCGGCGAGUUGCGUUAGUCAGCAAGGUUAAGUCAGAAAAGACGGAGCCGUAGCGAAAGCGAGUCUGAAGAGGGCGAGCAGUUGGCUGACGCAGACCCGAAACCAAGUGACCUACCCAUGACCAGGUUGAAGGCGCGGUAAAACGCGCUGGAGGACCGAACCCACGUAAGUUGAAAAUUGCGGGGAUGAGUUGUGGGUAGCGGUGAAAUUCCAAACGAACUUGGAGAUAGCUGGUUCUCUCCGAAAUAGCUUUAGGGCUAGCCUCGCAAAGAGGAUGCUGGAGGUAGAGCUCUGUUUGGACUAGGGGCCCGUCAAGGGUUACUGAAUUCAGAUAAACUGCGAAUUCCAGACAUUUAUGUGCGGGAGUCAGACUGCGAGUGAUAAGAUCCGUAGUCGAAAGGGAAACAGCCCAGAUCACCAGUUAAGGUCCCAAAAUUCAUGCUAAGUGGAAA